AUUUUUAUUAUUUAAAUAAAAGAAAAGAAAAAAGAAAAUUUUCCUUCCUUCUUCCUCCCGUGCGUCCUCCAUCCCUUUCUCCUUCCCGUACCCUAGCAGCCGCACAUCCCUCUCUUCUCCGUUCACCCAGUCGGCCACACAAGCUGCCGGUCGUUUCUUCUUCUUCUUUCCGGUCGUCUUCCUUUUCUCCUUCGGAUCGAAACCGCCGCGCCCAUUCGCUCACAACCGCCGUGCCUCUCCGCUCACAACCGUCGUGCCUCCCUCGGAAAGCAAAUCGUCGUCCAGAUCUGCAUCGCCGAGCCGUCUAGGUCCUCGCCGCCGCAUGUGCUUCACCCUUGCAGUUCGCCAUAACCCAGAUCCGUCGCUGCAAUCGUCGAUCGGUUCGUGAAGCAAGCCGUACGCGUCACCUUGCAGCAGUCGUCCAGAUCUGCGUCGUCGUGCCCAUUCCUUUCCUCUCCGUUCGUGAAGACCUGCUGCGCAAUCUCUGCCUCCGUCGAAGCCAAGCCCAGCCGCCGCCCAUUCCUUUCUCCUCCGUUUUCUGCACUGCCGCGCGACUCUCCGACCGCGUCUGUCUUCACCUUCGUGAAGCCGUCGACGCAUACAUCUCGUGAAGUCAUACACGGAUCCAAGCCGAUCUCUUCCUAAAUUACGUGUCCCUCUGCUCGUUGUAAGACGGAGUUACGAUUUGAAGCCGAUUUUCUUUUCCAGUUGAGUCGCAUUCAGUGUUGCUCUAUUUACAGCCGCUUGAUUCGUUCUUGAUUGUCAUUUUUGCCUCGCCGUGAACCAUUGGGCUCAUAUUUGGGUACAUCUUGAUUCAGUGAGCGAAUCUUUGAUUUUCCAAAA